rnacentral:lncRNA from 1 species
UAAUGUUGUUGGGGAUUAUAUUCAGGUUCUCAUUCAUAUUAAACACACACUUUACCACUGAGCUACACUCCCAGAGUCCAAUUUUUUUUUUUUUAAUGAAACAAUGUACAAUAGGACUUAGGCAUGUGUGAUUUAUGGUGGUUUGUUCUAAAGCCUGAAGAAAAUUGCUGAAAAACCAGCAGGCUAUUUAAGUACGAAAUGAGUAUCCGUACAUGGAUAAGUUACAUGUUGGCAGAUCUUUAGUAUACUUGUUCACAAAUGCCUCAAGCCUCCUACAAAGACAUUUACAUUAGGCUGUUCAGUAUAAUUUUAAUUUAGGAUGGAUUUUUAAAGCAUUGUACUAGGAUUGGAUUUUGCCAUUGUGUUUUGACCAACGUUCUUGAUGCUUACCUCAUGAUUUUUCUCAUGUGACUUAACUGCUGUUUUUAAGGAGAGCUGAGACAUUUAUUAGAAAUUCCUACUUUCUAGCUUUUAGUGACAGUCUGGAUAUUUAAGGUAUAGUGUUAAAUAGGGAACUUUAAGUAUUUUAGCCUAGUUUCUUGUGGUUUUGUGAUUUUGUUGUAUUUAAUAACCAAAGGAAUGUUCCCCAUCAAAUAAGUAAGUAAAGUUUUCUAACUGGGGAAAAGGCAUUUUUGGUUUUUUUAAGAAAAAUUAUUAUUUAAAAAAAUGACUUAGGAAUUAACUAUACGUUAGGUAUUUU